ACUUUCUCACAGCCGGUGUGCACCAGGCCCCCUGCCCCGACUGGACGAGAGGGACGCAAACAGCAGUGAUGCCCACGUCCUGGAGCAGGACUGGAUCAAGUGCUGCUUGUACAGAGGGUGGUCUGUGCACGAGGUAGAGCAGGGCAGGCAGGGAGCGUGAUGUGGUGGGGGGAGGACCUGAAGGAAGGGGAGGAAGGAGGGCUCUGAGUGGGGGACGUGACUGUGUGGAAACAGUCCAUUCCCACCCCAUGCAGAACCAGGACCCGUGGGGAGGUGGCCGGACCAGGAGGGGGAGAAACCCAGGCGGCGAGCAUCCUGGGAGGGAGGUGGGGUCAGUAACAGAGAGGAGCAACAGCACCAAAGGCAGCCGAACUGAGAUGAGAAAGUGCAGAUCUGACGUCAGGGGUCCCCUGUACCCCAGGUCAGGAGGCCCUGACCACAGGGUCCCCUGGGGCCAGGCGGGUGAAAUCUGUCGGGCCUCCUGCGCUGAUCUCUGGACUCCACUCACAUGUGCCCACCUGCUUCAGGAUGAAUGAGGCUGGAAAGGCACACGAGACCACGGGGGGAGGAUGGGCCAGGGCAACACAGAGAAAAGAGAGGGGCGGGUGGUAACCGCUGAUGGAGGUCGAGUUCAAGAGGAGACCUGGUCACAGAACAAGCAGGGAAGCCCAGUGGCAGACAGACCCUCCCCUUCGCUCUGAAGGGCGGGCUCUGAGGCUGUGAGUCAGCUGGGUGACUUCUCGUCUAGCCUGGGCUCCCCUACGGGUUUGGGACAACCGGCCCGACGGGUGUCUGCUCUGUGUGGUCCCCUGUCAGCCAACAGACCAGCCUGGGCUUGCUCCACGGCGAGGGCCGGGCUCCAGGAGAGCACGCAGGAGCUGCCGGGCUUGGGGAAGACCAGGUUCCGUCCCUGUCACUUGCUCCACAUCCUCCCGGACACAGCAGGUCACAGUGGGGCCCGACUCAGGAGUGGAGAAAGAGACUACUUCUUGAUGAGAUGGGGUGAGGGGCUCUGAGUCACAUCUCGGGGGGCUGGACACAGGGUGGAGCCUGAGAAGGAAUGAAUCUACCGCAGGAAGCUUGAGGAAGAGAAGGGGACAAAGAAAAACAGGGGAACGGUGGUGCGUCAGGCAGGGAGCUUUGGAGCCUGCAAUCUUGGCAAAGGGACAUUUUCAGCUCCUGACGAGGCAGAAUGAGCCGCUAGCUGAUGAGAUCGUCCGGCACACAGAACAUCCUUUAGUGAAGCGGGUGAAGGACCGUCUGUGUUUCUUAUACAUUUUAUUUUCGUGCUUGUCACUUGUUAUAAAAUUCGUGAACUUUAUGAAAGACCUGUGCCUGAUACAAGGUAGGUGACUGGUGGAGACACUUGCUGAAUGCAUCUAAUUCAAUCACCUGUGAGAUAAUUCACGUGUAAGGAAAGCGAGGCCCCGAGAGCAGAAAAGCUGGCACAACGUCACACAGUCAGUUCCCCCUCCUUUUCGUCCUCUGUCAAUUGUUCUUUUUUUCUUAAGUGAUAAGAAAAGAGACAAUGAUUGAAGACACUAACAUUAAGUCACAUAACGUUUUAUCAUUUUAAAUUUACUUAACCAAGCUUCACCCAAAAGUUUUGUGGCUAUGGUGAUAUAUUACAAGAUAUGAAAUAGAUUAUUUUGUAACACAAGGAACCAGAUGCUCUGCCGACUACUGAACCCCACAGCUUGGGGAAUCAAACCCAACAAUGUUGUUCAAUUAUUUUAUCAAAUCAUAUUUAUUUUAGCCUCAGAUUUUCCCGGGACAGCUAAUUCCGUAUUAACUCCAGAUCUUCUCAUUAGGUCUUCAGAAGGUGUUUCUUGAAUAACUUGAAAAAGACUUCAGUACAAGGAUCUUUGGCUUUUUAUUCUCAAUCUGCUGGUCAGUGUUUCCCUUUGUCAAAAGCAAGUGGGCAUUCCAUCCUCAGGCUGCAGGAGGGCCCUUAGCUAAGAGCAGCCCCAGACCACAGAGCGAUGACACUGCAGAAGAGAGCCCGGGGGACGUCGUCACAGACGAGGUUCCAGGGGAAGCACGUGCCGCAGGCAGUAACUGGUGGACACAUGGUUUGGCUGGGAAACAUCUGUAGCAGCAAAAGGCACAUCUGAUCAGCAAACGAUAGCCACGGGUCCUGGGAGUGGAUUUAUAGGCAUCACAGUACGAAGGAAAUCAUGGGAUCCCAUUUAUCCUACAAAGAAUUCUAUCCUUAUCCACUGAUUAUAUAAAUGAAACCAAAGUGAGAUUAUUUAAAAUAGAUAACCAACAAGGACCUCCUGUAUAGCACAGGGAACUCUGCUCAAUACUCUGUAAUAACCUAAAUGGGAAAAGAAUUUGGAAAAGAAUAGAUACGUGUAAACGCAUAACUGAAUCACUUUGCUGUGCACCAGAAACUAACACGACAUUGUUAGUCAAGUAUACUCCAGUAUAAAAUAAAAAUUUUAAAAACACAAAAACAAAGCAAAGCAGGGCCUAUGGCUGAUGUCACGUGGCUUUAACACCUCUUGACACGAGGCUUCACUCACUUUCUGAAGAGCCUUCACGGGUGUUCACCGUGUUGCGGGCACAACGGGGCUGGGAGGUCUCCCCUCCACCCACGGCUGCCGAAGGGCUCCAAGCCAUUCGCCCAACGCCAUGCAGGACUGGGACCCAGGCUUUGGGGUCUAUCCUGCGCCCUUAGACAGUUACCUGCAGACUCCAGGCGCCAGAGACUGAGAAAAGCAAGCUCCAUCAUUCUUGGCCGCCUCCUCGUUUUGACUUUUAAUUGUAGGUCGUCAUUUUAGCCACGUCCACAUCCUAGGUGGGUGUGGACUUUACGAAAGUCUUAGUCUGUUUGGGCUACGGUAAAAAAAUCACCAUAAACUGGGCAGCUUAAACACAGCAGAAAUCUACUGCUCACAGUCCUGGAGCCGGCAUUCCAAGGUCCAGAUGCCGGCAUGGGCAGGGUCUGGCGAGGGCCUCUUCUGGGUGGCAGACUCCUCACUGUACCCACGUGGUGGAAGAGGGCUGUCCCAGGCGUCUGUCGUAAGGGCCCUAAUCCCACCCGUGACCCCCUCAUCUCCCAAAGGCCCCGCCUCCCAAAACCAUCACCCGGGGGGGCAGGUUUCAACAAAGGAAUCUGGAAGAGACACACAUUCCGUUUACGGCAACAAAUAAAGAGGAGAUGUUAUUUUCUAGCAAACGACACAAAAAUCACUUCAAUCUAUGUUUUCAAUGUCCUCACACGCUCAUUUUGGUGCCUUUCAGUCACUACAAGUCUCACCUUUCUGCCUGACCUUGAAUGCAAAGGAAUGCAAUGAAAAGUUUUAAUUUCUUCCCCAAGAUACGAGCUUAGGGAGCAGGGUGAUGAAACCAAGAAGUCCACAAAGAAUGAGGACGUGUGAAAGCCCCUCUCCAGAGGGCUCAGGCAUUCAGCACCCGGCAGUCUCUGCAACAGGCCAGCCACCUGGCCCCUGCAUCCCGCCUGAGUCACCAGGUCAACAGCUCAGCCUGCAGUGAGCUUCGGAGUCCUGCCCAGCUGUCGUGCCCGGCUGUUCACUGCCCUCGGGGGUAGACAGUGACUCCUGGGGUUGGGCAUAUUUUCAGCCACACCUGGAUGCCCCCAGGUAAUCAGGAGAAAACGUUCAGUGGAAGUGAAGCGACAGCCCUGUGGCUGGUUGGGCUGUGUGUGCAGAGGAAGGUCAAGUGGUAGGAGGGGUUUACUCACUGUCCUUGCAGCAGAACAGCUCUGCUUCCUCCUGGAAGCGUAGGCGUUGGAAAGCUUCCUGCCGUAUUCAAUUACCCUUUGGAGGAGGCCAGAAACGGGCUGUUACCAGAGCGACUCCAGAAUUUUAGGCAAACACUGGCGGACCAGCCCGGGGGCUGCCAUUCUGCAAACCAAGGCAGGGCCGUGGUCCAGAGGAAGAGGAAGAGCCCAGGCUGGCUUUGCUGUUGGGAUAAACCCCACUGGGGCUCAGCUUCCUGAAGGGAAGAGGAUGGACGAGCAUCUCCCGAGCUCUGCCAGCAGGUGCUUCUGGCUGGACAGGAGGUUGCUCACGGGAAGGUUCUGUUACCACGCAGGGGAAAACCUGUUUCUGCACACCCCGCACGACACAGCUAUAAACCAAAUCUCCAAUCUUGCGAAGCUGCUGUGAGUGUGACCGAUUCUGGGCAUCCUCUGGCCUGGCCGGGCGGUGGAGGGAGGUGGCACCUGAAAGCACAGCGAGAGAGCCGGCACCUUCAUUCACACCUCAUCUUCAGUUGUUUUAACGGAGGUGCCCAUCUCCGCUCCUCAGCGCGCCCAGAAGCGUUCACAACCUGAGAGCACAAGAACCGGGACUCUUGUGUGUUUUGCCUUUUUUGAACGGCAUGGACAGGGAUAGCAGACAUCACUCGUGGUCCUCAUAACCGAGGUCACGAUAAUGUGAUAACAACACUUGUAUCGGAGGAGGUGGAAACCCACAGCCUGGCCAUUUAGGAUCACGUGGACUCUUAAA